AUUUUGCGGAGAUAGUGGACAGUAUAAAAAGAGAUGUUAUACCGUACAGAAAAUAGUAAGAGCUAACAUCUGAAAGAAAACAGAAGGGAACAGCGAGACAAAAUUUAUAUUUUCCGGAAAAAAAAGGAGACAACAAAAGUUAAUUACUGAUAAUUGUACUGGAAACCUAACGCGUUGAAAUAUAUUUUCUAUCAAUUGUAAAAGAAAAUUUCAAAAUGGCUCAAAUAAGGAGCAUUUUCAAUUUACCGCUGAUGGCAAUGUUGAUGUCGAUUUUUGGUCCGAUAUACGUUGCAUGUUGGGACCCCAAUUCGCCCGAAGCGAUAAGAUUUGGAUGUAACUUAACCAAAGACAGCGAGGUCAAGUUGAACAUGAACUCGUUUGAACCGCAACUGAUGGUUAAUGUUGAAUGCGAUGGCGG